AUUGAACGCUGGCGGCAGGCCUAACACAUGCAAGUCGAGCGAGCGGCGGACGGGUGAGUAAUGUCUGGGAAACUGCCUGAUGGAGGGGGCACACUACUGGAAACGGUAGCUAAUACCGCAUACCAUCAGAUGUGCCCAGGUGGGAUUAGCUAGUAGGGGGGGUAACGGCUCACAUAGGCGACGAUCCCUAGCUGGGCUGAGAGGAGGACCAGCCAAACUGGAACUGAGACACGGUCCAUACUCCUACGGGAGGCAGCAGUGGGGAAUAUUGCACAAUGGGCGCAAGCCUGAUGCAGCCAUGCCGCGUGUGUGAAGAAGGCCUUCGGGUUGUAAAGCACUUUCAGCGGGGAGGCGUUACCCGCAGAAGAAGCACCGGCUAACUCCGUGCCAGCAGCCGCGGUAAUAC
rnacentral:rRNA from 1 species